UACGAAGGGUCCAAGCGUUGUUCGGAUUUAUUGGGCGUAAAGCGCGCGCAGGUGGAUCAGCAAGUCAGAUGUGAAAUCUCGGGGCUCAACCCCGAAACUGCGUCUGAAACUGCUAGUCUAGAGUGUUGGAGGGGGUAGGGGAAUUUCACGUGUAGGGGUAAAAUCCGUAGAGAUGUGAAGGAACACCGGAGGCGAAGGCGCCUACCUGGACAACUACUGACACUGAGGCGCGAAAGCGUGGGGAGCAAACAGG
rnacentral:rRNA from 1 species